rnacentral:rRNA from 1 species
ACCAGACUCCUACGGGAGGCAGCAGUGAGGAAUAUUGGUCAAUGGGCGGGAGCCUGAACCAGCAAGUCGCGUGAGGGAAGACGGUCCUACGGAUUGUAAACCUCUUUUGCCGGGGAGCAACGGGGUCCUUGCGAGGGCCCGAUGAGAGUACCCGGAGAAAAAGCAUCGGCUAACUCCGUGCCAGCAGCCGCGGUAAUACGGAGGAUGCGAGCGUUAUCCGGAUUUAUUGGGUUUAAAGGGUGCGCAGGCGGAUUUUUAAGUCCGCGGUCAAAUCGUGGGGCUCAACCCCAUCCAGCCGUUGAAACUGGGGAUCUAGAGUGUGCGAGAGGUAUGCGGAAUGCGUGGUGUAGCGGUGAAAUGCAUAGAUAUCACGCAGAACCCCGAUUGCGAAGGCAGCAUACCGGUGCACAACUGACGCUCAGGCACGAAAGCGUGGGUAUCGAACAGGAUUAGAUACCCCGGUAGA